rfam:Ascoidea rubescens DSM 1968 unplaced genomic scaffold ASCRTscaffold_7, whole genome shotgun sequence.
GCGGAUUUAGCUCAGUUGGGAGAGCGUCAGACUGAAGAUCUGAAGGUCCUGUGUUCGAUCCACAGAAUUCGCA